rnacentral:misc_RNA from 1 species
GGUUCAGUGGUGCAUUGGGCAUCUUGCAGAUGAUGACUUCAUUGCAUUCUUCAAAAGAGCAAAGGUUGGCUUGAAACCUGGUGGACUUUUUGUUCUAAAAGAGAACAUUGCAAGAACAGGAUUUGUGCUGGACAAAGAAGAUAAGAGCAUAACAAGAUCAGAUUCAUAUUUUAAGGAGCUGUUCAAGCAAUGUGGACUACACAUCUACAAGAUGAAGGAUCAAAAGGAAUUUCCUGAUGAAUUAUUUGCUGUGAAGAUGUAUGCAUUGACGACUGAGAUGCCAAGGCAAGGUAAUAGACCUAGACCUAAACGGGCAACUAAUAGACCCGCUAUCAUCAGAUAAUGAAUCACAUUGGUCUGUAAAUCAUUGUGUGGUAACUUUGGAGAAAGUCAUUCAUAGGUUGUUGUUUUUAUGCCACAUGUAUUCAAGUUGGUCAAUGUAUGCCUUGUUUAGGUUAUUGCUUUUGACUUUCAGCACUAUACACUAUUAGUGUAAGGG